UUCACGUGCCAGGGAAGGCGCAAAGCUCAAAGCGCUGAUCCUCGAGCGCUUGGGCGAGAUGCAGCGCCUGCUGACACAAGUCAAACCAUUAUUGCCAUUGCAGAUUAAAACCUAUCAGGAACGCCUUAGCGUUAAAUUUCACGAGACUGUGAAAAAU
rnacentral:misc_RNA from 1 species